rnacentral:rRNA from 1 species
GACGAACGCUGGCGGCGUGCUUAACACAUGCAAGUCGAACGGAAAGGCCCUGCUUUUGUGGGGUGCUCGAGUGGCGAACGGGUGAGUAACACGUGAGUAACCUGCCCUUGACUUUGGGAUAACUUCAGGAAACUGGGGCUAAUACCGGAUAGGAGCUCCUGCUGCAUGGUGGGGGUUGGAAAGUUUCGGCGGUUGGGGAUGGACUCGCGGCUUAUCAGCUUGUUGGUGGGGUAGUGGCUUACCAAGGCUUUGACGGGUAGCUGGCCUGAGAGGGUGACCGGCCACAUUGGGACUGAGAUACGGCCCAGACUCCUACGGGAGGCAGCAGUGGGGAAUAUUGCACAAUGGGCGGAAGCCUGAUGCAGCAACGCCGCGUGCGGGAUGACGGCCUUCGGGUGGUAAACCGCUUUCGCCUGUGACGAAGCGUGAGUGACGGUAAUGGGGAAAGAAGCACCGGCUAACUACGU